rnacentral:sRNA from 1 species
ACAAAAAUAAAAACACGCAGCAACCCAAUAAAAACAACACGUACCGGCUCUGACACAACAAGAACAACACGGACAGAGACGUAGCUAACAGAUUUUUUUGGAGUGGACAGCUUUUCUGAACUGCUUGCCUUGCAAGUCGUUCUGCAGCCAGACAGAGAAUAACAAAACUGCCCUGAGGCAGCUCCCGAACUGGUUGGAUCACAUGAUGAAAGCUUGAUCAGCGCUCAAAAAAAUACGUUUGCUCUUGGUCCCGCAUGCGGACCGCUCAAAAAAGCAGUAAAGGGCCAGGUCGCAAAAAACAACAACAGGCCACCCGAAAAACAAAAAAGAGCAUAGAGACAUACCUUGAAGGGGAGCCCAGGCUCCCCUUCGUGCUUUCCAGCGUUUGCUUUUGCCUCCCGAC